rnacentral:rRNA from 1 species
UACGUAGGAGGCGAGCGUUGUCCGGAGUUACUGGGCGUAAAGGGUGCGUAGGCGGCCGCGCGCGUGGGGGGUGAAAUCUCUCGGCUUACCCGGGAGGGGGCUUUCCAGACGGCGUGGCUUGAGGGACGGAGAGGGGCGUGGAAUUCCGGGUGGAGCGGUGAAAUGCGUAGAUAUCGAGAGGAACACCAGUGGCGAAGGCGAGUCCCUGGACACUUCCUGACACUGAGGCACGAAAGCGUGGGGAGCAAACAGG